rnacentral:rRNA from 1 species
CAAUAGCGUAUAUUAAAGUUGUUGCGGUAAAAAAGCUCGUAGUUGGAUUUCUACCGAAGAUAGCCGGUCGGGUCUUCGACCUUGUAUCUGGUUUUGUCUUUGGUAUCCUCAUAGGGAACGUUUCUGCACUUUAUUGCGUGGUGCGGUAUCUAUGACUUUUACUUUGGGGAAAUUAGAGUGUUCACGGCAGGCAAACGCCUUGAAUAUAUUAGCAUGGAAUAAUAACAUAGGAUCUUCGUCCUAUUUUGUUGGUUUCUAGGGCUAAGAUAAUGAUUAAUAGGGAUAAUUGGGGGCAUCUGUAUCAACGCGUCAGAGGUGGAAUUCUUGGAUUGCGUUGCGACAAACUACUGCGAAAGCAUUUGCCAAGGAUGUUUUCAUUGA